GAUGAACGCUGGCGGCGUGCUUAACACAUGCAAGUCGAACGAUGAACCUCACUUGUGGGGGGAUUAGUGGCGAACGGGUGAGUAACACGUGAGUAACCUGCCCUUGACUCUGGGAUAAGCCUGGGAAACCGGGUCUAAUACUGGAUACGACCUUCUUGCGCAUGCCCUGUUGGUGGAAAGCUUUUGUGGUUUUGGAUGGACUCGCGGCCUAUCAGCUUGUUGGUGGGGUAAUGGCCUACCAAGGCGACGACGGGUAGCCGGCCUGAGAGGGUGACCGGCCACACUGGGACUGAGACACGGCACAGACUCCUACGGGAGGCAGCAGUGGGGAAUAUUGCACAAUGGGCGCAAGCCUGAUGCAGCGACGCCGCGUGAGGGAUGAAGGCCUUCGGGUUGUAAACCUCUUUCAGUAGGGAAGAAGCCGGCUUUUGGGUUGGUGACGGUACCUGCAGAAGAAGCGCCGGCUAACUACGUG
rnacentral:rRNA from 1 species